rnacentral:rRNA from 1 species
UAAUAAUUUAUUUAUUUUUUAUUUUAUUUAUGUAUUUAUAGGUGGAAAUAACCUUUUUUUUAGUAAUUUUUAUUGAAUUAAUUUUUUUUUAAUUAUAGUUUAUUAGUACUGUAAAGGAAUAAUUUUUAUUUAAUUUAAGUAUAUUUUUUUUAUAGUACCUUUUGUAUCAGGGUUUAUUAAUUUUUAAUUAAUUAGUAUUAAUUAUCCCGAAAUUAAAAGAGAUACAAUUUUAUGAUAGUUUCUGUUAUAUAAUAAUUUUAAAUUUUAUUGUAGGAGUUAUAUGCUAUUCAUUUUUAAAUAUCUGGUUAUCUGAUAAAUUAAUUUAAUUAAGGUUAAUUUUUGUUUAUUUAUAAUUUUAUUUUUGUUAAUUAUAUUAACUUCUAAUAUAGGGGAUAAGCUCUUUAUUAUUUUUAUAACUUUUAUUAUUUUUAUAAUUUUUUGUAGGAUUAGAAACUUUCAUCAUUUUAUUUCGUUAUAGUUAAUUUUUAUAUAUUAAUUAAUUUAUUUUUAGUUUAGAUUUUUAUUAGAUUUUGUAUUAUAAUUUUUAUUUUUGAGUAAUAAUGAUAGAAUUAGUAGUUUUGUAAUUUUAAGUAUGAGAAUUCGGCAAAUUUAAUCUUCGCCUGUUUAACAAAAACAUGUCCUGUAGAUUUUAAUUAUAGGUCUAAUCUGCCCAAUGAUUAUUAUUUAAUGGCUGCAGUAUUUUGACUGUACAAAGGUAGCAUAAUCAUUUGUCUUUUAAUUGAAGGCUUGUAUGAAUGAUUGAACGAGGGAUUAACUUUUUUUAUUUAAAAUUUUUGUUAAUUUAAUUUUUUAGUUAAAAAGCUUAAAUUAUUUUGUAAGACGAGAAGACCCUAUAGAAUUUUAUUUUAAUUAAUUAAUUUUAUUUUUGGUUAAUAUUUCUUGGAUUUUUGUUUAAAAUUUUGUUGGGGCGAUAUUGAGGAUUUAUUAACCCUCAAUUUUUGAGUUUCAUUUAUUUAUGUAUUUUUUGAUCCUAUAUUUAUAGAUUAUAAGAUUAAAUUACCUUAGGGAUAACAGCGUAAUUUUUCCGGAGAGUUCUUAUUAAUGGAUUAAGUUUGCGACCUCGAUGUUGGAUUAAAGAAAGUUUUUGGUGCAGAAGCUAAAAUACUAAGUCUGUUCGACUUUUAAAUCUUUACAUGAUCUGAGUUCAGACCGGCGUGAGCCAGGUUGGUUUCUAUCUACAAUUUUUUAUAUUUUAGUACGAAAGGACCAAAUAUAGGUAAUAUUUAUUUAUUGUUGAUUAUUAUUAA